GACUGAGUUUCGCUCCACAAAGACGAGGGGGUGAACACAGACCAAAAAUGAAAGCAUGCCUGGGUGAAUUAUAUCAGGCGAGCAGUUGACACGGGGUUCGGGCACCUGCCACAACGCUGCAUGCCGGUAGCUGGUCGUGGCGGAUGGCAAGGCAACGGAUGGGGGGGGGGGUUCCUCCGUGCGGGCGGUUUGAAGAUAGAUACCAGCCUGGGCAACUUGGCAGAAGGCUUGAAAACGCGGUUCCUGGAUGCUGGGAAAGGGGUAUCCAGUGCGUUUGUGGGUACAAACGCUUGAUCGCGCCAGGCAGGGUCAGCACACACGAGGGCCAACCCAGGAGCCUGGCGAUCAAACCAGAAAGGGUGACCCGCGUUGGGCGACGUUGUCGGGAGUUAGCCGACCCACUAUCUCCAAGCAAAAUCGAAGUUUUCAAACUCCUUCUACGCGCAUCUUUUUCAAAUAAGCAAAUUGCAAAGUGGCAACAACGCGGCAGAUCCAGCAGGGAUGUUUGCCUGGAUUAAGGCGGGCGUAACGUGCACCGGGGAACAGCAGUGCGUGGCGCUACAAUGCAACAGAAUGUCACCUCGGAGAUCCCCUUCCAAGCGAACAUCCAGAAUUGUGCUGAAUGCUCGAAGAUCGCUCGCGUCCGCAAAGUGAUUGACAGUCUCGCCUUUUACAACAUCUCUUUGCUAAUCCAAGUGACUGCUUUCUUAUCCAUGUCUCUGUGAUGGCCGUUCAUUUGAAGGAGUGACAAAUACGUUGGUGAUGCAACAUUGGUUAGCGCUAGAAUACGGUUCAUUCCCAGAGCGUCAUGGUUGAUAAUGGAUGAACUUGGACUCCCCUUUCGAACGUCACGAGUUUUUGCAUGAAAGCCAAGGUUCCGCCAAUGGUGGCGUUCCGAUCCACCAACGCUGGAAGACUUCCACGGAGAGCAGAGUCCGUCUUCGGGUAUGGACGAUUGUCUGAAAAACGCCCGUGUUUCAGCUCUCCAUCCACGCAGAGCGCCGCAACAAUGCCUGAGCGUCCUUUAAAUAACGUCAAAACGUCACUCAGCCACCCUGCUGCGGAAACUCCCGUAGAGCCCACUUCAACAGGGGCCAGACGCCGGAUCAGGACUUUGGGACUGAGUCAUGCUCAUCCAUAAUGACAAACCGAUAUACCUUUUGGAAGUCUUGGGAUUAGUCCGUCCCGUUGCAUGUGCAUUGCGGUCAAACGUACCACUGAAAAACCCGUGCUGAACGCACGUGUAAGUUCUUCGUACCCAAGCGUACUCCUUUUCCCGGUCGCGCAAGAUCCCAAGAAAACCAGGCAAUCCACUGCUCACCUGCUUUAACCUGUGGGGCAU
rnacentral:lncRNA from 1 species